AUGGUUCUGAAAGGACUUCCAGAGACAUUUAAGCCAUUUGCCAUUCAUGUUAGCCAGAGAGAUGAUAAAUGGACUUUUGCGGAAUUUAAAACAAGGCUUCGAAGUUAUGAAGACAUUGAAAAUAUGCGGGCAACCGUAUCCGAGGACAAUGUUAUGAAAGCAAGAGUGCAGCCUGGCAGUAAAACCGCUUUAGCGAGUACAGCUGUUUGUGGUGCUGGAAGUACCAACAUUGUUUGUCACAGGUGUGGUACAAAAGGCCACAAAGCAAGAACAUGUCAGCGUAAACAGUGGUGUAGUCAGUGUAGAAGUACCACUCACCGCGACGCAACAUGCAGACGGGGAAAGCAGCGGGAUAACGCACAAAAAGUUUCCGCAGAGCCAAGUGACAAGGAGUAUGCCUUUCGGGCAAGCGACGCUGAAAUGCGGGUACAAAAUACCAAGAGGAAAGGCCUAAUGGUGGAUGCAGGUGCAACCUCACACAUCAUCACGGACAUCGAGAAGUUUCUGAGUUUUGACAGCAGUUUCCAGGCCAACACACACUGCGUGGAAUUGGCUGACGGCACUCGGUGCAACGGGGUCGCAAAGCACAGAGGGGACGCAGAGGUAUAUUUGGUGGACAGCACAGGACGGCGCGUCAAAGCAAUGCUAAGAAACGCGCUGUACAUCCCAACAUAUCCACAGGACAUUUUCUCUGUGAAAGCAGCCACAUCGAAGGGAGCGACGGUGAUCUUCAAAGAAGGGAAGAACGUUCUGCUACAUAAAGACGGUACCAAAUUCCCCAUACAUGUGCACGACAAACUGUACUACUUGCACACAAUAGACAAUGAAUGUGUUGAUCAAUGUAAGAAGUGUUAUGAUUUGCAGACAUGGCAUGAAAUAUUAGGGCAUUGCAAUCAUGGGGAUAUAAUUAAGUUAGAGAAAGUUGUUGACGGUAUGCAAAUUAAGGGUAAGGAUAAACCUAUCCCACGCUGUGAAAUUUGCACACAAGGAAAGUUUAUUCAAACUAGAAACAGAGGGCCAGAUGCAAGAGCCAAAGCAGCCCUAGAAAUGAUUCAUACAGAUUUAGCAGGGCCUAUAGACCCAGCAUCUAGAGACGGUCAUAAGUAUGCACUAUCUUUCACAGAUGAUUACUCCAGUGCAGUGUUUGUUUAUUUUUUGAAAAACAAGAGUGAUACAGUGACUGCCACAGAAAAAUUCCUUGCUGAUAUGGCUCCAUAUGGAAAGGUAAAAUGCAUAAGGUCUGAUAAUGGUACAGAAUUUACAGGAAGGGAGUACCAGGCAUUAUUAAGCAGAAACCGUAUUAGACAUGAGACCUCAGCGCCGUACUCUCCACACCAGAACGGCACGGCUGAGCGGAAUUGGAGAACUUUAUUUGACAUGGCUAGAUGCAUGUUAAUAGAAAGUGGGUUACCAAGAACAUUGUGGACAUAUGCAGUCCAGACAGCUGCUGUAGUGAGAAACCGAUGUUUUAACAAUCGCACUAAUCAGACAGCUUACUUUAUGUUGACAGGUAGACAGCCUAACAUUUCAAGGAUGCAGAAAUUCGGAGUAGCAUGCUAUGCUUACAUACAUGACAGAGGGAAGUUAGGAAAGUUGGAUUCAAGGUGUGAGAAGGGUAUUUUUGUUGGAUACGACAAGAAUAGUCCGGCAUACAUGAUUUACUAUCCUAACAGCAAGAAGGUACAAAAAUGCAGACUAGUGGAGUUUGUAUCCAAAAGUACUGAGACUAUACUGAUAGAUGAUGAUGAUGGUUUUGAGACCAGAAACAAUCCUCUCAGAGAAUCUGUGAAAUCAGAAUCAGAUGUUAGUUCACAAAGUACUCAAGAACCAGUAGUGUAUAGUAACCAAACACAACAGGAAGAAGAUAAACCUGAAAGGAGAAAUCCUGCAAGAGACAGGAAAAAGCCAACUUAUUUAAGUGACUAUGUUUGUGGUAUUGAAGGAGAUGUGACUAAUAUUGAUUACUGUUACAGACUUGUGUGUAAUGUACCCCAGACCUACAAAGAAGCUGUAACGUCAGUAAAUGCAAAUGAAUGGGUUAAAGCUAUGGAUGAGGAAAUGCACUCAUUGAGAGAAAAUGUUACAUUUACCCUGACUAACCUGCCUGAUGGUAAAGAAGUAGUGGGGGGUAAAUGGGUCUAUGCAAUUAAGAAAAAUAGUGAUGGAUCAGAUAAGUACAAAGCACGAUAUGUUGCCAAAGGGUACAGUCAAGAGAAAGGUGUAAACUAUGAUGAGACUUUUUCUCCAACUGCUAGCAUGACUAGUAUCAGAGUGUUGAUGCAAAAAGCAGUUCAAGAAAAUUUGAUUGUUCAUCAGAUGGAUGUAAAAACAGCAUAUUUACAUGCGCCAAUAGAAUGUGAGAUUUAUAUAGAACAGCCAGAGGGUUACAAGGUAAAAUCUCAAGGCAAUGAAAAAUUGGUGUGUAAACUAGAAAAAUCACUGUACGGGCUUAAACAGUCUGGCAGAAACUGGAACAGAAUGUUACACGAAUACCUAUGUGAAAACCAGUUUGUUCAAAACCCAGCUGAUCAUUGUGUUUACACAAAAGUUACAAAAACUGAGAAAGUUUUCAUAAUUAUUUGGGUUGAUGACUUGAUUAUUGCUGCCAGUGAUCUGGUUGUGGUUAAAGAUGUGAAAGAGAUGCUCAUGUUGAAGUUUAGAAUGAAGGAUUUAGGAAAACUGACACAUUUUCUUGGCAUUAACUUUGAGCAAGGUGCUGAUUUUGUCAAAAUGUCACAACACGGGUAUGUUGAGAAACUACUUGAAAAGUUUGACAUGCAAAACUGUAAACCCAGAGCUGCCCCUUGUGAGCAGAAACUAAGUUACACUGAGAAUGCUGAUGUAACGGGUGAUGUGAAUAGAACAGUGGAGUACUGUAAAGCAUGUUUUGAGAUAUUUGCAAGGCACCAAAGACAAAGAACUGUGUUACAGGAAAGGUGCAAAUGA
ensembl:lncRNA